rnacentral:rRNA from 1 species
AAAAGAACUUUGAAAAGAGAGUUAAAAAGUGCGUGAAACCGCUGGAAGGGAAGCGAAUGGAGUCGGCAAUUCGCCUCGGCGCGUUCGAUCUUUCUAGACGAAGCUUGCGCACGUGCGUCGCGCAACCGGUACUUCCGCUUGGCGAAAGUCAACGUCGGUUGCGCGGAGUCAAAAAGCCGCGAGCACGGUAGGUCGCUCGCGAUGCUUGCGAGCGAACGGCUUCACGUUGACCGAGUUAAGUCGCAGCACGUACCUGCAGGUUGAUGUCUUCGUAGCUGAGUAGGUUUAACCUCGCCGCGCGGACGGCUUUGCCUGUGCGUCGGCGAGCGACCUGUCAAGCCACGGAGGAAGCAGACACGACGUGCUGAGCACGUUGGCUGCCCACCGGCUCCAUCCGACCCGUCUUGAAACACGGACCAAGGAGUCUAACAUGUGUGCAAGUCUCAGAGUGAUCGAAACUCAUUGGGCGUAAUGAAAGUGAACGCGGCCUCCGCUGCGGAGAUGAGAGGCUGCCGCAGCGGCAUCAUCGACCGACCUAUUCUACUCUUAGAAAGGUUUGAGUGAGAGCGUACCUGUUGGGACCCGAAAGAUGGUGAACUAUGCCUGAAUAGGGCGAAGCCAGCGGAAACACUGGUGGAAGCCCGAAGCGAUUCUGACGUGCAAAUCGAUCGUCGAAUUUGGGUAUAGCGGCGAAAGACUAAUCGAACCAUCUAGUAGCUGGUUCCCUCCGAAGUUUCUCACAGGAUAGCUGGAACUCGGUGGCAGUUU